ACAUGACUAUCGAGCUUGCUCUCUGGAGACGCACUAUCAGGCACACGCCAAGGCCACGUCAUUGUAGCGAAAGAGAUGAUGAUGACUUUGCAGCAAAGCCAGUACAUCAGCCAGCACUGGGUCGGGCUUGCGAGUUGGGACAAGCUAUGGGAACAUCACCAGAGUCACCGUGUGAGACGGGCCAUGGCACAAAUCAAUCUGUUCAAGUGCGACUGUUAACCCGCCACAAAGCAUCACAAGCAAAUGAAAAGAAAAUUAUGUCAACAAGUGCUACACAAACAGAACCACAUGCUUUUUCUUCAGGCUCCUUGUCCUUUGCGUCCCUGCAUCAGUCUUCUUCAGUGGCGUCUGUACGAGCCCAACUUCAUUCCUGCCAGCAGUGCACCUAUGUGACCCUGGACAAGUCGACUAUGGACAGACAUCUUCGGAAACACAUGGGCGAGCCCCCCAUACAGUGCCACUUGUGUCCAGCUGCAUUCAUUCACAAGUCGAAGCUGGUGGCUCAUCUGCGCACCCACACAGGAGAGCGCCCCUUCUCCUGUGUCCACUGCAGUGCGUCCUUUGUAAACAAAACCAACCUCGUGAGACACAUCCGCAUCCACACAGGGGAGCGGCCCUUUUCUUGUAUCCGCUGCAAUGCGUCCUUUAUAAACAAAAUCAACCUCGUAGUACACAUCCGCAUGCACACAGGAGAGCGUCCCUUCUCCUGUGUCCACUGCAAUGCAUCCUUUGUGAGGAAAAACAACCUCGUGAGACACAUCCGCAUGCACACAGGAGAGCGGCCCUUCUCCUGUGUGCACUGUAAUGCAUCAUUCAGUCGGAAGAACAGCCUCAUGAGACACGUCCGCACACAUACAGGAGAACGUCCCUUUUCUUGUGUCCACUGCAAUGCAUCUUUUUCACGAAAACACCACCUCACAGACCACAUGUUCCAUCGUCAUGGAAACAAGAAGUCAUAAAGGUGUGGGGCUUACAGGCUUCCGUAGAAGGGCCAGUAAACAACCCCGCUAUCCAAAAUUUAUGAUGGAACUAAGCACUCGUACGAUGUGAACAUGCAUGUCGCAAGCUUUUUGCGAAUAAAUGCUGUAAAA
rnacentral:lncRNA from 1 species